GACCUGGGCCUAUUUAUCUAUGCAUUUUUAACAACUUUUCACUAAGGACGAAUGGGUGUAAAUGGUUGGUUGUUCUCCCUGCAUUGAUGUUUGCGUUACCGGUACACUUGCCUAGAGCACAUUAACAAAGGAUGAGCUGCCUAACACUGCAUCAAAUGACUGCAUCUCACUUAGCAAGAUAUGUGUAUAAGGUGACAUAUAAUACGCCUGUGUGGUCGUAAAGAAUGAUUCAACUAGCGAAGCUUCAACAGACCUGUCUACUCUCAAAUGUGACAAAAUAUUUGCACACAAGCUCUGCAGUAGUUCACCGACAGACGUGGACGGUCUCUCAUAGGUGUGUUCCAUCACAGACUAGAGGUGUAUGGAAGAUCUCUCCAUGGUGUGUUCCAUCACAGACUAGAGGUGUGACUUUCAAGACGGGCCUGGAGAGCUCCUUCAAAUCACAGCACAAACGAGACGGAGUCUCCAAAGACUUUGUCCUAGUAUUCUCUAAGACUAACCAAAACUAUUACACAAUAGGAAUACCGUGUGUAUGGAUUCUAGGCGGAGUUUUCCUCGCUGGCGCUGGAUAUGCAAUUCAGAAUAUCCUUGAUAUUGACCCUAUCCAACGAGAGAGUGUUUCCAUUAAUAAUAGUGGACCAAUUGACCCUCUGGAAACUAUAUGUGUGUUCUCUGUUUUUACUCUUACAUUUUUGGUUGGUUUGGCAAAAAUUUCUAAGAGCAUGGUGUUGCGGAUGUACUACAAGGAAGACAUAAAUAAGUUCAUCGCUGUUGUGUUGCGAUAUGGUAUUUUUCGCAGAAAAAUAAACUUCAGUCCAGCAGAGAUAAAACAUAAGAAACUACAGAAAUUUAGUGGGAUAUAUGAAGUGAAGGGACAACAAUUUAAUGCUCUGCAAAAUGAAUUUUUAAAUGUUAGGUAUUUCAAUAUAUUUACUGGAGUUAUUGUUCAAGAUCAGUCACAUUAUAGAAACACCUCUGGAAACAAAGUUAUGAAAAGCUGAUAAUUCUAAAUGAAUUUCAUUACCGAACGUUGUUAAUUUUAAUGACCAAAUAUUGUUGUUACUAUUAACCAAAUAAUAGUUUUGUCAAUUAAAUUGUCUUAUAUUUCAUGUGAGAUUUAAAGCAUAACUUGAUUCAGGUUAUUAUUAAGAUACAUGUAUAUUUCUGAAAAAGCAUAGAUUUUUAAAUAUUGAAGAUAGCAAUGUUUUGUGACGUCAUUAUUUUGUGUGUGAAUAAUAAAAAUCGGACUUAAGAAU